rnacentral:lncRNA from 1 species
UACUGGUCCAUACUGGUCCAUACUGGCCCAUACUGGUUCAUAGUGACCUAUACUGGCCCAUACUGACCCAUACUGCCCCAUGCUACCCCCAUACUGGCCCAUACUGCCCCAUACUGGCCCAUACUGGUCCAUACUGGUUCAUAGUGACCUAUACUGCCCCAUACUGCCCCAUACUGGUCCAUACUGGUCCAUACUGGUUCAUAGUGACUCCUACUGCCCCAUACUGGUCCAUACUGGUUCAUAGUGACCUAUACUGCCCCAUACUGGUCCCUACUGGUCCAUACUGGUCCAUACUGCCCCGUACUGCCCCAUACUGGUCCAUACUGGUCCCUACUGGUCCAUACUGGUCCGCAGACC